AUAUGUAAUGUACCCCACGCCCGGAGCCACCCCCGUCAAUCGGCGCACACCUUUGCCUCGCAUAAUAAUCGCAUUAGCCCUACAGUUUGCGAAAGAGGCCGCCGUUUCCCUAAUUACCACUUGGUGUGUAAAGCCGAAUCCCUUGUUUCCCCUUCUUCUUCUUCUUCGCUAAUCCUUCCCCGUUCCACACGCUCCCGUGCCAUGGACGCAGGGAGCGGAAGCUAGUUCCGGCGCCGCCCCAUCCCUCUGGCAUCCGCGCCGCUACUCACCCCGCCCCAAGACGCUGCCUUGCCGUUCCCGUACACCAGGCCGCACGACCACCGACCGCCGUCCUCUCCCGCUCGAGCACCGACCGCAGCAGCCCAUCUCUGCUCGCGCACAGGCCGCCGCCGCCCCUCUCCGCUUGAGCAUCGACCGCAGCCACCCUACCCACUCGUACAAAAGGGAAAAGAAAAUCCCUUUUUCCCAUCGCCGCCGCCUCCUCUGAUCUAUCCACGCAGCCCUCUGCCACGUCCCCCCCAGGGGAAGACAAGCUGGCGGGGACCUCCGGAGCCCAGAUCCCCUUCCGGCGGGCGGCUAAGCGACCGAGGGGCCUUCUCGAUCUGCGCCGCCCCUCUUCUUCCGCCCACAUCCUACCAAGACCUGCAGCGAAUCCAAACUACUCGAUCGCUUGUUUGGCUCAAAUGAAUUGCAAUUGGGGGACCAAGCGCGCGCGCUCCGCGUUCGGUGGUGGUGGCAAGGCGGCCCUUUCCGGCCAAUCCACGCAACCACUCCGUCCUAAUGACAGGUGCGUUCAUUCUCAUCUACAUCCCUCUUGGGGUGCCAAGCGGGCGCGCUCCGCGCUCGGCGGCGGUGGUAAGCCCGCACUUUCCGUGCAGUCCCUACCCCAUCCUAAUAACAGUGCCAGCACCUCCACAAGAGACUGGGCCAACCUCGGGGAUGGGCCAGCCGGCCUCAUCGCCGAGCUUGCCCUUGCUAGCGAUGUGGCGGACUAUGUCCGCUUCCGUGCCGUCUGCCAACCAUGGCGGCGGUGCUCGCCGGACCCGCGCGCCGGCGGCCUGGACGGUCGCUUUCUCCCCCGCCAGUGGAUAAUGCUCGACAAGGCACUUGCCGGACCGCGCCGCCAUCGCUUCCUUAACAUAUCUACAGGCGAGUGCAUCCAUAUGGAUCUCCCAGAGCUCGCCGAGCACACGCUGCUUGCGCUCACCCCGGAAGGCCUCCUGCUGCUGCUCCACGAGUCCACCCUGGUCGUCCGCCUGCUGAACCCUCUCACACACCAGCUCACCCAUCUCCCGCCGGUGACCGCCCUCCUGAGCCCCGAGCAGAGUCGAUCUAGGCGCUGCGGCUUACAGAUCAAAGUUAUGGUGUCUGGCGUGGGCCUGGUUGCAGAUUCCUCGGUGGCAGUCAGUUUCUUUGAUCCCAUGGUGCUUGCUGUCGCUAAACCCGGCGAUGAUAGUUGGACAGUGGCCCACAAUGAUGGAAUGAAUACGACUCUGUCUUUUGCGGGCCGCUUCUACUGUGCCACUUACAGGGGUGUCAUGGUGUUGAACAUGGGCUCAGAUCAGCAGCCGCCACGGCUCCAUAUGGUCGCUGAUCGGAGCAAGUCGUUUUAUUUCAACCCAAUGGCACACAGCCUCCACCUGGCGGACAAUGGUGGGGAGUUGAUGCUGGUGCACCGGACCCUAUGCCACGACACCAAGUAUGGCAGGAGGUAUGAUGUUUAUAGAGUGGAUUUGGAAGCUGGAGUCCUGGUCCCGGUCAAGUGCUUCAACGGGCGUGCCGUGUUCAUGGGCAUGGGUCGCACGAUUUCCGUAUCAGCUCAGAACCCCUUUCCAUGUGUUGCUUCUGAUACCAUCUACAUGGGGCCGGAUUGCGAUGGCAAGAUUCAGGGUUACAAUAUUGCAGAUGGAAGAAGAUGCGAUCUGAUUGGAGCGGUAUGCCCACGUAGCGUUGUGGAUUGUCUCCGCUACUGCAUCCAGGGAUUCGGCAAGCUACUUGCCUGAGCCUCAGGACGAAUGAUGGGUGUUUGCUCUUUGCUAUGAUUCUGUUUCUCUGGUGUGGUGUUUGCCGUGAUUCUGAUCUUGGCCUACUGCUGGGUGUGGUGUCUGCUGUGAUUCUGGUCCUGGCCUUAUGCGUCAGUUACUGUGUAUCAGACAGCAUUAAGAUAUGUACCUCAAAUAAUGUAAACGCUUAUUAAACAAAAAUUGUUACUGGUUUUCUGUUUCUGAUA